UCGAAGCGGCGGUUGGGAGCGAGUGGCAGUUGGGAGUUGGGCGGGACCUUGAGAAGCGCGUCUGCGCGAGGCCGUUGGAAGAGGCUCUCGUCGCGCCUCAGAAGCGACUUCACGGCCGGCCGCUGCCUCCCUUUUUCUGCCCGUGUCAGAACUUCCCCGCUCUCCUCGCCACAAAAUAGACCCUGAAACUCGGAAGGAGGAGCUGAGAAGGGCCCCGCCGCCUCGCCUCAGGAGUUGUGCCCGGCCGGCUUCCUGAAGCGCCUCUCCUUGACCAGAGAAGCGCAGCCGCUUCCUUUCGCGGCCGCCCUCGCGAUACGACCAGGCGGGCGGGGAGCAGAGUUCGCUUCUCGAGGCCGGCCAGAAAGCAGGCGGGGAGCGAAAGGUCUAGCAAAGAGGUCCUAAUGUCUUCAGAUGAAUUUCCAGCUCUGUCACAAGAUGAACUCAGGAGAAGACUAUAUCAGACAUUUAAGAGCCGAGGUGUUUUGGAUUCACUUAAGACACAGCUUCGAAACCAGCUCAUACAUGAUCUUAUGAAUCCCAUUUUAAGUGGAAAAAUUCAGCCACAAGCUGUUUCUAGUGAAUGCAGUUCAUUGUUAAUUGGUGCUUCUAACAGUCUGGUGGCAGAUCACCUGCGCAGAUGUGGCUAUGAAUAUUCACUGUCUGUCUUCUAUCCAGAAAGUGGAUUAGAAAAGGAUAAGGCGCUCACCAUGCAAGAUUUACUACAACUGAUAAGGAUCAAUCCAAAGACUGAUCUUUACAAAGCACUGAUUUCAGCUUCAGAAAAAGAGAAUACAAAAGGCUUUCUUGUACAGAUAUUAACUGAACUGAUAGACCAUAGCCUACAUAAGCAGAUCUGCAGCACAGAAACUCAGACCAGUCCCACACCUGGUAAAGAAUCUCUUGCUGAGAAACUUCAACUGAUUGAUGAACAGUUUGCAGACAUGUAUCCUCAGUGCCACAAAUCUGAGUCGUUUGAAGUAAAACUUGCUGAAUAUAGAAAAGAAGUAGAACAACAGCUUCAAGAGGAAAUGUCUCAGAAGUUGCAACACUUCAAAGAGGUUGAAAUAGCCAAAAUUAAGAUGGACGAGAGAGCACAAUCCCAGAAAGAGAUUUCAGAGCUUCGUAAAGAAUUUGAAAAAGUUCACAGAGCCAAGUCAGAGGCUCUAAGCUCUCGAGAAAGAAAUGCUAUUGAGAGGCUUCAGAAGCAGCAAGAGAUUGAUGCAAGGGAAAUUUAUCUGCAAAGGCAAAGCCUGCUGAAAGAUAUUGAAACAGUAAGAUCCCGAGAGGCAGAACUGAAGCAGAGAAUAGAAGCUUUUGAACUAGCUCAAAACCUUCAAGAAUCAAAAAAUAAAACUGUAGAAGAUGCACUUCGUCAUCGAGAGGUAACUGUGAAGAACAUUGAAGAGACUUAUGACCAGAAACUAAAGAACGAACUCCUAAAGUAUCAGCUUGAACUAAAUGAAGAAUACAUAGCUAGAACCAAGAAAAUUACUGAAGAUGAGAAAAAAAUUAAAGAUAAAGCUAUGCUUUUGCAUGAAGAGACCAUUUCUCUUAAUUCAAAAAAGCAAGAAUUUGAACAUGCUGUAUCACAUUCAAAAGAGCUUGAGCUGGAAAUAGAUUCAGUCAAGGCUCAAGUUUUAUUAUUAAGCAAGCAAAAUCAGUUGAUGACAAAAAAACUGGAAGAAGUUUCAGAUUAUCCAACACUAAAAGAAGAGAAAAUGGAACUUCAGGUGCAGAAUAAGCUACUCAAACAACAGUUGGAAGAGGCGCGCAGUGAAAACUUGGAACUCCGAGACAAGUUGAGUCGGCCAUCAGCUGAAUAUUUGGUCCUUGAGGCAGAGCUGAAAAGAGCAAAACAUGCUAGGAAGCUUGAAGGUGAAGAAUCUGACACUCAUAAGCAGCUCUUGGAAAAACAGUUACAAAAUGAGAUUGAACAUUGUGUACAGCUGAAGACUCAGUUGUCGGAAUGUGAAAAUACUAUCAGGAAGUUAAAUGCCCAAAUGGAAGACCUUAAGCUACAACUGAAACAGACACAGACAGCAUUAGAGAAUGAAGUAUAUCGGAAUCCAAAGCCCUCUUUGGUUGAUCGUUCUGUCAUUGACUUGUUUGGUGACAAGACUGUACCUCCUGAUAUUUAUAUAGAUGGUGCUUUCCUGAAAACACAGCCAAUGGCUGAUUUUAUUGGAAUGGGAAAUGGUACAAGCCCCAGACAUCAUCACCACGUGCUGAAAUCUAACACUUCACAAGAUUCUGAUUUAGAAUUUGUAGCUAAUACAAAGGCUAGAAUAAAAGAAUUGGAGAGAGAAGCUGAAUAUUUAGAAGAGGCCUACAGGAAUUACCAAUACAGAGCCAUUCAAACCACAGCUGGCCCAGCAAAAACCACAUUCUCUUCACCUAUGGCAAGUAACUUUAACAUGGCAUCUCGCCAAAGACUUUGGUUUGCACAGGAUGAUCUAUAUUCCCAAGAAGUACCCUUUCACUGCCAAAAAAAUAAAAGCUAUAGAUGGACACCAGGAAAUGGGGAUCACUUGAAAGAUCAUCUAACCCCUCCACGGAAGAAGUCUACUUCUAGACGUCUGUCUUCUACUCCUGUUUCCAAAGCAAAGAGAAAUAUUAGUAACAAGCUGUUUUCUGAAGAUACAGUUGCCUCAUCUUUUGCUGCCCCUCAUCAGAAUGCAGACCAGCCUCUCUCCCCCAUUCAAAGAACAGGCAACCUUUCAUCUCCUGAACAUGCUUCUAAUAUAUCAGUUUCUUCUUCCCCAGCCUCCUGCAAACAAAAACUAAGUCUUCAGCAGCAGCAAGGUGAAACUCAGGGUGUUAGUGACUCUGCAAAAUCUGAGAGGCUCCUGUAUAAAGACCUUGGAAAUGAUGACUCUGACCUUGGAAAUGAUGAGUCUGCCAGUAAAUAUCAAGAGGACAUUCCAGAACAGCUCGAAAGCGAUGUGUCACAUCCAUCUCACAUUGUUAGUGGAAGCCAUGUUCCGGCUACUGUGCCAGCAGCGGGCACUUCACAGCAGGACAUAAGUGGAGCAGAAAUAACAGCCCUGGAGAAACAAAAGCAUCCUGAAGAACAGGAGGAAGAAGAAGAGGAGGAGGAGGAGCAAAAAUGGGAAGAGAGGGAAGGAAAAAGGCAGCAAGAGAGGCAGGACACUUUGGAAAGAGAGCAAGGAGAACUGGAAAAAGCAAAUGAAGAAUUGUGUAUGCAAGAGGCAUUGGGAACCGAGAAAAAGCAUGAAGAUGUGGCAGAUUUGGAAACCAUUAUCUCAAAGUCUGAAGAGCAUGGUGGUGAUGCUAUUCCUAAUCCACUGGAAAAAUACAUGAAAAUAAUACAGCAGAAUCGGGAGCAGGAGUUUGCAAAUGAGGACUUCAAGAAAGAAGCUGAAGUAUUUUCUGAGAAACUCUCAGGUAGUGGAAAGGAGGACAGCUUUAGUGCUGCAGCCACUCUUCAUGGAGAGCCUGAUGAUGAUUUCUGGUGAAUAUCAAUUAGCAGGGGCUCCCUGACCAGAGAAGUGGACUUCUUUUUCAUCAGAGGAAGCACCACAAAUGAGGGCUCUGCCUUAAACUUUGUGGAUUGAGAUUGCAAUUGUGGUCAAUUGCAGAGGAACUAUUCAGAAUUAUCUCUGCAAGCCACUCUCUUCCUCCAUUGCCCAUUGCCUUAUUAAAGCCUCUGUUCCUUUUCUUCAUUACUGAUCUUCAGGCCAUUUUCUUCCUGGUGGAAGUAUAUCAUGUCACAGCAAAGUACCUCAACAUAUUGCACUAUAGAAGAUAUUCAUCAAAUAUAUUCAUCUUUGACCUUUUUGGGGGGUGGGGGGAGCUAUACAGCAGUACGUAUGUGUAUGAGAGUUAUAAAACAAUGGAGAAGUGUGUGGAGCACUAAGCCAUGUGGAGUGAAAAAAACUAUGAGCCAAGGUUUGGGCAACAUGCCAACUCAACAGUCAUGGCAUAGCUCGCAGCAGCACAGAAGCAGCAGGACUAGAGGAGAACAGCUACUUUGUCUUGGAAUCUCUAUAAGUAGUUCUAUUGGCUUGUAUCCAACUAAGUUGGAUGAAAAUGAGUUGUGUCCAUUAACUUCAAUGGGUUUACUCUGAGAAGGACUAGCAGUGGAUAAAAACCCAUUAUUUCCCAGGCUCGCCUCUACUGUGCCCUCCCCGCACAUCUCAUUUCCACCGGCCUUUCUGAAAGAUUUGCACACUUCUUUAGCCAAUAUCAGAGAAAGUAUGUUAGGAACCUUAAAAUACCUGGAAUCUGGAUGGAACUUCUAGAAAUAAAUUGACUCAACUUCUAUUGUGUGUUCUAUUGCCCUUCCUUUUUGGAGGUUAUCAUGUCCCUCACUCCUAAUCCCACGCAAAUAAUCCCAGUCCCAGGGGAGGGUGGGGGUAAACAGUAUUUGUCACCAAAUAAGCAUUAAUGAUAGGAACAACCGCAUAGUGUGUGUGAUGUUAAUCAGGUAACAAAGAUCUGGUCCCAUAAUGUGUGAUUCUUGGGUGCACAAAUCUAGACCCCUGUUCCUUCCUCAUACUGUUCUGACAAUGUAUUUACCUUCCAAAAUAAGGAUAAAUGAAACUGCUUUGCACGAGCACAUACACAAUUCACAUUAUUACAGAAAUAGUAAGAAUAUGCAGAUAUAUAGCUAAAUUCAGGAGACUAGCAUGGUAGGUUUUCAAACUAUUUGGUGAUGGGCUCAGGCUUGCUUAAGCAGUUUAUUUUGCUGAUUGUUUUAUUAUUAAGCCUGAUAGCAUAAUGCGGAUAACAGGCACAAAAUCACUUUAGAUAAAUGACUUGCCAAAUGCAGUUAAACUGGGUGCAUCUGGAAAGAGGUCAGUGUAAUCUGCAUUAAUUGAAAAAGUAAUGACAUGUUCAGAGACUCCACACUUGGUUGCUUUUUGGUUCAUCUCAUAAGGCUAAGACAAACCUGUUGAAGAUAGGACAAGGAAAGAGGAUAAAGCAUUUAAUCAGGAUUAAAAUAAGUACCGUAUUGCCUGAUAUCCACACAGAUCUGGUCCGCUGAAGCUGUCAUAUUUGCUGGGAGUGAUCUGAUGACUUCGCAAGUUGACCAUAUGUUAUAGAACAUGAAGACCGGCACAGCCGAGAAGCCAAAGACGCCAAGCCAGGCCACCCCCAGUACGUAGGUCAGGAAAACAAACUGAGGAGACAGGCACACAUUUCACACAGAAAACCCCUUUCUCAUUAAUUUAGGAAAUCAAGGGUUAAUCUCAUUUAUAGUACAGAAUUUUAAAAUCCAAGAGCAUGUCAGAGUCUCCAUGUCUGAUGUGAAGUCUCGGAUUUUCACUCCAUAGAGACCUUCCCUAUACCCCGUGUUGCGAUGUUAAGAGCCUGACGUUCUGUUUUAAGUAAGCAAAAUAAAAAACAGCCUGACUUUCUGAGCAGUAGUCAUUCUGGGAUGCUUUCUUUGUCGUUGGAGUGGCACUUCAUUACUGGGAACUGUGACUUCCUUACAGUAUCUGUGGGUACCUCCCAAUUCCUGCUGUACGCAAUUAGGAUAAGAGGGCAUAGCUUCUAACAACAGGGAGUGCCAGCCUGUUGUCUCAGGUGAGCCAACUGAAAAGAAUGUCAUGCUUCAGCCAACUAAAUUGGACCAAGAGAUGGGGACAACUUAAUUACAUUUUGUGGGGGGGGGGGGGAAUCUAUAAAGUUAAAAAUUAAGUGCUCUCAGUUAAGGGGGGGAGAAAUCCCCCCCAACAAAGCACAACCUGGCUGCCAAAAGCCCAAUACUGGACAAAAACACACAAUAUAUAAUCUGGACAUUUUAAUGACUGGUGUUAAUGAAAGCUUUGACAGAACUGUGGCCCACUUAAAAGUUGUAAUUUCUUGGAAGAAUAAACUUGGUAAAAAAGA